rnacentral:rRNA from 1 species
CAGAGGGGGCAAGCGUUAUUCGGAAUUAUUGGGCGUAAAGGGCGCGUAGGCGGCUUUGCAAGUGACGGGUGAAAUCCCUCGGCUUAACCGAGGAACUGCCUGUCAAACUGCAUGGCUUGAGACCGGGGAGAGGUGAGUGGAAUUCCCAGUGUAGCGGUGAAAUGCGUAGAUAUUGGGAGGAACACCAGUGGCGAAGGCGGCUCACUGGACCGGUACUGACGCUGAUGCGCGAAAGCGUGGGGAGCAAACAGGAUUAGAUACCCUGGUAGUCCACGCCGUAAACGAUGAGUGCUUGGUGUAGCGGGUAUCUACCCCUGCUGUGCCGAAGUCAACACAUUAAGCACUCCGCCUGGGGAGUACGGUCGCAAGGCUG